AUUGAACGCUGGCGGCAGGCCUAACACAUGCAAGUCGAACGGUAACAGGAAACAGCUUGCUGUUUCGCUGACGAGUGGCGGACGGGUGAGUAAUGUCUGGGAAACUGCCUGAUGGAGGGGGAUAACUACUGGAAACGGUAGCUAAUACCGCAUAACGUCGCAAGACCAAAGAGGGGGACCCUCGGGCCUCUUGCCAUCGGAUGAGCCCAGAUGGGAUUAGCUUGUUGGUGGGGUAACGGCUCACCAAGGCGACGAUCCCUAGCUGGUCUGAGAGGAUGACCAGCCACACUGGAACUGAGACACGGUCCAGACUCCUACGGGAGGCAGCAGUGGGGAAUAUUGCACAAUGGGCGCAAGCCUGAUGCAGCCAUGCCGCGUGUAUGAAGAAGGCCUUCGGGUUGUAAAGUACUUUCAGCGGGGAGGAAGGGAGUAAAGUUAAUACCUUUGCUCAUUGACGUUACCCGCAGAAGAAGCACCGGCUAACUCCGUG
rnacentral:rRNA from 1 species